AAUUUGGAUCUUCAUAUGCCUAUGUGACAAAUGUAGUAGAUGAAAAUUACUAGUGUAAAAUAUACUUAUUCUAUGCCACAGGUAUCUUAUUGGGGAGUCCUUUCAGCAUCAUGCAUGUGUAUCUUUUUUGCCUAUGUUUUAUACUACAGAAAGAAACAGACAAAAAACCAGUGAUUGUCCAGAGCCUUCCAAGUUGUCACUUCAAAUUCAUCCCUUAGAGCUGGUGUGUGACAGAAAGGUCCACUACUGUACAUCAGAUUUCCUUCAGAUUUGGAGCUUUUCGGAGCUUCGAGAGUUUGAGCAGGCACCAUGGAUGACUUUGAACGCCGCAGGGAGCUCAGGAGGCAAAAGCGUGAGGAAAUGCGCCUUGAAGCAGAGAGACAAUAUGUCAACUCCUUUUGGAGCAGUGGCACACUGGAAGGAAGGAGGCAUAGUACUUAAGUGUGCAGUAUCUCUGAAACAGUCACCUGCUUUUCUAUAAG
rnacentral:lncRNA from 1 species